ACAUGCAAGUCGAGCGAACAGACGAGGAGCUUGCUCCUCUGACGUUAGCGGCGGACGGGUGAGUAACACGUGGAUAACCUACCUAUAAGACUGGGAUAACUUCGGGAAACCGGAGCUAAUACCGGAUAAUAUAUUGAACUGCAUGGUUCAAUAGUGAAAGACGGUUUUGCUGUCACUUAUAGAUGGAUCCGCGCCGCAUUAGCUAGUUGGUAAGGUAACGGCUUACCAAGGCAACGAUGCGUAGCCGACCUGAGAGGGUGAUCGGCCACACUGGAACUGAGACACGGUCCAGACUCCUACGGGAGGCAGCAGUAGGGAAUCUUCCGCAAUGGGCGAAAGCCUGACGGAGCAACGCCGCGUGAAUGAUGAAGGUCUUCGGAUCGUAAAACUCUGUUAUUAGGGAAGAACAAAUGUGUAAGUAACUAUGCACGUCUUGACGGUACCUAAUCAGAAAGCCACGGCUAACUACGUGCCAGCAGCCGCGGUAAUACGUAGGUGGCAAGCGUUAUCCGGAAUUAUUGGGCGUAAAGCGCGCGUAGGCGGUUUUUUAAGUCUGAUGUGAAAGCCCACGGCUCAACCGUGGAGGGUCAUUGGAAACUGGAAAACUUGAGUGCAGAAGAGGAAAGUGGAAUUCCAUGUGU
rnacentral:rRNA from 1 species